GAUCCUGGCUUAGGAUGAACGCUAGCGGCAGGCUAACACAUGCAAGUCGAGGGGCAUCGGGAGUAGCAAUACUGCCGGCGACCGGCGCAAGGGUGCGUAACGCGUGAGCAACAUGCCCGUAUCAGGGGGAUAAUCCAUGGAAACGUGGUCUAAUACCCCAUAGUAAUUAUGUAAGGCAUCUUAUAUAAUUUAAAGCUUUGGUGGAUACGGAUUGGCUCGCGUGACAUUAGCUAGAUGGUAAGGUAACGGCUUACCAUGGCUACGAUGUCUAGGGGUUCUGAGAGGAAGGUCCCCCCACACUGGAACUGAGACACGGUCCAGACUCCUACGGGAGGCAGCAGUGAGGAAUAUUGGACAAUGGAUGGAAAUCUGAUCCAGCCAUGCCGCGUGCAAGGAAGACGGCCCUAUGGGUUGCAAACUGCUUUUGUAUGGGAGCAAUAAGGGCUACGCGUAGUCCGAUGAGAGUACCAUACGAAUAAGCACCGGCUAACUCCGUGCCAGCCGCAGC
rnacentral:rRNA from 1 species